rnacentral:rRNA from 1 species
GGGUUGUGAGGUUAAGCGACUAAGCGUACACGGUGGAUGCCCUGGCAGUCAGAGGCGAUGAAGGACGUGCUAAUCUGCGAUAAGCGUCGGUAAGGUGAUAUGAACCGUUAUAACCGGCGAUUUCCGAAUGGGGAAACCCAGUGUGUUUCGACACACUAUCAUUAACUGAAUCCAUAGGUUAAUGAGGCGAACCGGGGGAACUGAAACAUCUAAGUACCCCGAGGAAAAGAAAUCAACCGAGAUUCCCCCAGUAGCGGCGAGCGAACGGGGAGCAGCCCAGAGCCUGAAUCAGUGUGUGUGUUAGUGGAAGCGUCUGGAAAGGCGCGCGAUACAGGGUGACAGCCCCGUACACAAAAAUGCACAUGCUGUGAGCUCGAUGAGUAGGGCGGGACACGUGGUAUCCUGUCUGAAUAUGGGGGGACCAUCCUCCAAGGCUAAAUACUCCUGACUGACCGAUAGUGAACCAGUACCGUGAGGGAAAGGCGAAAAGAACCCCGGCGAGGGGAGUGAAAAAGAACCUGAAACCGUGUACGUACAAGCAGUGGGAGCACGCUUAGGCGUGUGACUGCGUACCUUUUGUAUAAUGGGUCAGCGACUUAUAUUCUGUAGCAAGGUUAACCGAAUAGGGGAGCCGAAGGGAAACCGAGUCUUAACUGGGCGUUAAGUUGCAGGGUAUAGACCCGAAACCCGGUGAUCUAGCCAUGGGCAGGUUGAAGGUUGGGUAACACUAACUGGAGGACCGAACCGACUAAUGUUGAAAAAUUAGCGGAUGACUUGUGGCUGGGGGUGAAAGGCCAAUCAAACCGGGAGAUAGCUGGUUCUCCCCGAAAGCUAUUUAGGUAGCGCCUCGUGAAUUCAUCUCCGGGGGUAGAGCACUGUUUCGGCAAGGGGGUCAUCCCGACUUACCAACCCGAUGCAAACUGCGAAUACCGGAGAAUGUUAUCACGGGAGACACACGGCGGGUGCUAACGUCCGUCGUGAAGAGGGAAACAACCCAGACCGCCAGCUAAGGUCCCAAAGUCAUGGUUAAGUGGGAAACGAUGUGGGAAGGCCCAGACAGCCAGGAUGUUGGCUUAGAAGCAGCCAUCAUUUAAAGAAAGCGUAAUAGCUCACUGGUCGAGUCGGCCUGCGCGGAAGAUGUAACGGGGCUAAACCAUGCACCGAAGCUGCGGCAGCGACGCUUAUGCGUUGUUGGGUAGGGGAGCGUUCUGUAAGCCUGUGAAGGUGUGCUGUGAGGCAUGCUGGAGGUAUCAGAAGUGCGAAUGCUGACAUAAGUAACGAUAAAGCGGGUGAAAAGCCCGCUCGCCGGAAGACCAAGGGUUCCUGUCCAACGUUAAUCGGGGCAGGGUGAGUCGACCCCUAAGGCGAGGCCGAAAGGCGUAGUCGAUGGGAAACAGGUUAAUAUUCCUGUACUUGGUGUUACUGCGAAGGGGGGACGGAGAAGGCUAUGUUGGCCGGGCGACGGUUGUCCCGGUUUAAGCGUGUAGGCUGGUUUUCCAGGCAAAUCCGGAAAAUCAAGGCUGAGGCGUGAUGACGAGGCACUACGGUGCUGAAGCAACAAAUGCCCUGCUUCCAGGAAAAGCCUCUAAGCAUCAGGUAACAUCAAAUCGUACCCCAAACCGACACAGGUGGUCAGGUAGAGAAUACCAAGGCGCUUGAGAGAACUCGGGUGAAGGAACUAGGCAAAAUGGUGCCGUAACUUCGGGAGAAGGCACGCUGAUAUGUAGGUGAAGCGACUUGCUCGUGGAGCUGAAAUCAGUCGAAGAUACCAGCUGGCUGCAACUGUUUAUUAAAAACACAGCACUGUGCAAACACGAAAGUGGACGUAUACGGUGUGACGCCUGCCCGGUGCCGGAAGGUUAAUUGAUGGGGUUAGCGGUAACGCGAAGCUCUUGAUCGAAGCCCCGGUAAACGGCGGCCGUAACUAUAACGGUCCUAAGGUAGCGAAAUUCCUUGUCGGGUAAGUUCCGACCUGCACGAAUGGCGUAAUGAUGGCCAGGCUGUCUCCACCCGAGACUCAGUGAAAUUGAACUCGCUGUGAAGAUGCAGUGUACCCGCGGCAAGACGGAAAGACCCCGUGAACCUUUACUAUAGCUUGACACUGAACAUUGAGCCUUGAUGUGUAGGAUAGGUGGGAGGCUUAGAAGUGUGGACGCCAGUCUGCAUGGAGCCGACCUUGAAAUACCACCCUUUAAUGUUUGAUGUUCUAACGUUGACCCGUAAUCCGGGUUGCGGACAGUGUCUGGUGGGUAGUUUGACUGGGGCGGUCUCCUCCUAAAGAGUAACGGAGGAGCACGAAGGUUGGCUAAUCCUGGUCGGACAUCAGGAGGUUAGUGCAAUGGCAUAAGCCAGCUUGACUGCGAGCGUGACGGCGCGAGCAGGUGCGAAAGCAGGUCAUAGUGAUCCGGUGGUUCUGAAUGGAAGGGCCAUCGCUCAACGGAUAAAAGGUACUCCGGGGAUAACAGGCUGAUACCGCCCAAGAGUUCAUAUCGACGGCGGUGUUUGGCACCUCGAUGUCGGCUCAUCACAUCCUGGGGCUGAAGUAGGUCCCAAGGGUAUGGCUGUUCGCCAUUUAAAGUGGUACGCGAGCUGGGUUUAGAACGUCGUGAGACAGUUCGGUCCCUAUCUGCCGUGGGCGCUGGAGAACUGAGGGGGGCUGCUCCUAGUACGAGAGGACCGGAGUGGACGCAUCACUGGUGUUCGGGUUGUCAUGCCAAUGGCACUGCCCGGUAGCUAAAUGCGGAAGAGAUAAGUGCUGAAAGCAUCUAAGCACGAAACUUGCCCCGAGAUGAGUUCUCCCUGACCCUUUAAGGGUCCUGAAGGAACGUUGAAGACGACGACGUUGAUAGGCCGGGUGUGUAAGCGCAGCGAUGCGUUGAGCUAACCGGUACUAAUGAACCGUGAGGCUUAACCUUACAACGCCGAAGGUGUUU